UACGUAGGGGGCUAGCGUUGUUCGGAAUUACUGGGCGUAAAGCGCACGUAGGCGGCUGGUAAGUUAGAGGUGAAAGCCUGGAGCUCAACUCCAGAAUUGCCUUUAAGACUGCCUCGCUUGAACGUCGGAGAGGUGAGUGGAAUUCCGAGUGUAGAGGUGAAAUUCGUAGAUAUCAGGUGGAACACCAGUGGCGAAGGCGGCUUUCUGGACGGUAACUGGACGCUGGAGACGCGAAAGCGUGGGGAGCAAACAGGAUAGAUACCC
rnacentral:rRNA from 1 species